rnacentral:rRNA from 1 species
CCUACGGGAGGCAGCAGUAGGGAAUCUUCCGCAAUGGACGAAAGUCUGACGGAGCAACGCCGCGUGAGUGAUGAAGGUUUUCGGAUCGUAAAACUCUGUUGUUAGGGAAGAACAAGUACCGGAGUAACUGCCGGUACCUUGACGGUACCUAACCAGAAAGCCACGGCUAACUACGUGCCAGCAGCCGCGGUAAUACGUAGGUGGCAAGCGUUGUCCGGAAUUAUUGGGCGUAAAGCGCGCGCAGGCGGUUCCUUAAGUCUGAUGUGAAAGCCCACGGCUCAACCGUGGAGGGUCAUUGGAAACUGGGGAACUUGAGUGCAGAAGAGAAGAGUGGAAUUCCACGUGUAGCGGUGAAAUGCGUAGAGAUGUGGAGGAACACCAGUGGCGAAGGCGGCUCUCUGGUCUGUAACUGACGCUGAGGCGCGAAAGCGUGGGGAGCGAACAGGAUUAGAUACCCUGGUAGUCCACGCCGUAAACGAUGAGUGCUAAGUGUUAGAGGGUUUCCGCCCUUUAGUGCUGAAGUUAACGCAUUAAGCACUCCGCCUGGGGAGUACGGCCGCAAGGCUGAAACUCAAAUGAAUUGACGGGG